ensembl:snRNA U6 U6 spliceosomal RNA
CAUCCGAUUACAAAAUGAAAAAAUAAAAUUGGGAUGAUACAGAAGAUUAGCAUGGUCCCUGCACAAGGAUAACAUGCAAAUUCAUGAAGCCUUCCAUAUUUUU